rnacentral:rRNA from 1 species
GAUGAACGCUGGCGGCGUGCCUAAUACAUGCAAGUCGAGCGAACAGACGAGGAGCUUGCUCCUCUGACGUUAGCGGCGGACGGGUGAGUAACACGUAGAUAACCUACCUAUAAGACUGGGAUAACUUCGGGAAACCGGAGCUAAUACCGGAUAAUAUAUUGAACCGCAUGGAUCAAUAGUGAAAGACGGUUUUGCUGUCACAUAUAGAUGGAUCCGCGCCGCAUUAGCUAGUUGGUAAGGUAACGGCUUACCAAGGCGACGAUGCGUAGCCGACCUGAGAGGGUGAUCGGCCACACUGGAACUGAGACACGGUCCAGACUCCUACGGGAGGCAGCAGUAGGGAAUCUUCCGCAAUGGGCGAAAGCCUGACGGAGCAACGCCGCGUGAGUGAUGAAGGUCUUCGGAUCGUAAAGCUCUGUUAUUAGGGAAGAACAAAUGUGUAAGUAACUAUGCACGUCUUGACGGUACCUAAUCAGAAAGCCACGGCUAACUACGUG